rnacentral:rRNA from 1 species
CAGUAGCCGCGGUAAUACGUAGGUGGCAAGCGUUGUCCGGAAUUAUUGGGCGUAAAGGGCUCGCAGGCGGUUUCUUAAGUCUGAUGUGAAAGCCCCCGGCUCAACCGGGGAGGGUCAUUGGAAACUGGGAAACUUGAGUGCAGAAGGGGAGAGUGGAAUUCCACGUGUAGCGGUGAAAUGCGUAGAGAUGUGGAGGAACACCAGUGGCGAAGGCGACUCUCUGGUCUGUAACUGACGCUGAGGAGCGAAAGCGUGGGGAGCGAACAGGAUUAGAUACCCGAGUAGUCCCUGUCUCUUAUAC